GUGAUGCUCUGUCGUGGCUGUGAUCUGUCCGUCCGCUUGCCAACCCGAUAUGCUUGCCCUCCACACAGCACACACCCAUCAAUCCCCAAUUCAUGAAAAUAAAUCCCUAAUCCAUCUGCUUGCCCUCUCCACCACACACCCAUCGAUCCCCAAUUCAUGAAGAUAAAUCCCUAAUCCAUCGGAGAAAUCGACGCCAUCCCCUCUGCCCCAUCGAUCACCAGUUCGCCGGCGGCUGCCUUUCUCUUCCCCGACCUGCGUUCUUCCCCACCCACCGCCUGUGAUUGUAGGGUUGCCCCGUGGUGGUUGCCGCUGGUUAUAGUCGUCGUCCAGCUAUCUCUAUCGGUCAGGCUGCCGGCGCGCUGGCCGCACCCAUCAAGGCUCCCGAUUGUUGCCCUGGUCGAGCGGCUGCCAUCUGCCAGCCUGUCUGCUCUGGACAGCUGCCUCCAUCCUCGGUUUUCUUCAUUUGAAUGAUGUCAGUCUCUUCUGGGCCAUCAACACCUAAACCAGCUUGCAAGCGCAGGCAACCCGAGAGAGCUUUUAUACCUUCAGAUGAUUCUGUUGUGCCAUAUCUAUUUCCUAGGGAAUAUUCCUAGCGAUGGCGUUGUUCUGCUGGCUGAUGACGCCCUCUCCCAUGUUUGUGAUUUCCCUACAAGUUUUCAUUUGCCAUCAAGGCGCUCUAUACGUCGAAGACUACUUACUCAGUCUGCUGGAUUUCCCCACCCGGAUCCUGUAACAGCUGCUCAAUCACGUCGAAAGCGUAAGCUUGCUAUGGCUGCCAAAUCAUCUAGAGAAAUUAAUAGUACCACUGAAAUGAUAGAGCAUCGGACGCAUAUCCAUGUGCUACAACGGAAUGUUCGACAACGAACCGGUCUGUCUCAGUCAUCCACCUUGGUUCCUAUCAAUUGUGGCCAUACACAACCUUUUGCAACUGUCGAUGGAGCAUGUUCAUCGUCGACCUCUUCAGCCCUAUUGUCUCCAUCUCCCACACAUCAACACCAUUUGCUCAUCAAUUCUCGCGGUUUUGCUGAUGUAAACCUGAUGCUCGACAUGUCAAAUCAGAUCACUCAUACAGUAUGAUGCUCGACUUGCUGUUCGACUCACUAAUGCACUAUUUUCUCUCCAUCAAGGCUUGGGCCCCCAUGUCACACUUGUCCAUAUUGUGGGGCUUUCUUUUGGUUUGAGGAGCGUGUCCGCCGAGAACAGCACAGCUCAUCACCAAUAUACAAUACAUGUUGUAAAGGUGGGAGUGUCAUCUUACCUCCAUAUAGGCCACCCCCAGAACCUUUGCAUAGUCUACUCACAGGAGUUAACAGAUCAUUGUCAGCCCAUUUUUUUAGAACAUUAGGUUCUACAAUUCGAUGUUUGCCUUCACAUCGAUGGGUGUAAAUGUCAUUGAUUCUAUCAAUGAUGGACGAGGCCCAUAUGUUUUCAAGAUUAGUGGCCAGCUCUGCCAUCGCAUUGGGUCACUCAUACCAGAAGAAGGAAGACGACCAGAGUAUGCUCACUUAUAUAUCUUUGACACAGAAAAUGAGAUCAGGAAUAGGAUAAAUGUUGGAACCUAUGCAAAUAGGAGUUUUCGUCCUAAUGAGGAUAUUGUGGCUGGACUUAUAGACAUGUUCAACACCCACAAUCCUAUUGUCCACCUAUUUAGGACAGCUCGUGAUAGAUUGGCUGAAAAUGGUGAUGAUUGAUACAUCAUAAGAUUAUUUGGUGAUCCCGACAAGCAUGGUGAUAUAUUUAGUGCUCCAGUUGCAUCGGAGGUUGUUGGGUUAGUUGUUGGUGAUGUAGGUAUAAGUGAUGUUGGCCGUGACCUUAUUGUGCAGGACCAAGCGGGUCAUUUACAAAAAGUUGAAGAAAAGCAUUGUAAAUUUAUGUCAAUGCAAUAUCCAAUUCUAUUUCCAUAUGGGGAGGAUGGCUAUCAUGAAAAUAUCACAUACCGACGUUGUGCUCGAUUACAAGCUAUCAAAAGAAAGAAGUCUACUAUGGUUGAAUACUUUGCAUAUAGGCUUCAUGACAAAGCUGAUGACUUCAAUACUCCUAUGCGCUGCAAGAGAGGAACCCAGGCCUAUGUCAUAGAUGCCUAUUGUUGUAUGGAAGAAUCUCGCCUGAGUCACUAUAGAUCCAAGACAUUUCAGCUUAAGUAUAGAACAACUUCAUUUAGUGAGGUAUCCACUAUGGUCCAUUCAGGCAUCACAGAAGCAUCAGAUGCCGGGCAGCAAGUUAUAUUGCCUUCUUCUUAUAUUGGGGGGGGGGCAAGAUAUUUAUAUCAAAAUUACUUAGAUUCAGUUGCUCUAUGUAGAAAAUAUGGUUGCCCUGAUUUGUUUAUCACUUUCACAUCAAAUUCCUUAUGGUCAGAGGUAACACAAGCUUUGGCUAUCAUCCCUGGGCAACACUCAGCAGAUAGGCCUGAUAUUAUUAAUCGUGUAUUCCAUGUUAAGCUGCAUCUCUUCAUGGACGACAUCGUAAAGAAGAAAUUUUUUGGCCCUGUCACUGCAGUUGUGUACACAAUUGAAUUUCAGAAGCGUGGACUUCCACAUGUUCACAUCAUAUUGUGGUUAGAUAAGAGUGGUCCAUUGACACCUGCUGAUAUUGACAGACUAAUAUCGGCCCAGCUUCCAGAUCCAUCCAUUGAUCGAGUUGGUUAUGAUGCUGUUGCGGCAUUCAUGAUGCAUGGACCUUGUGGUGAUGCAAAUCCGCAUUGUUCAUGCAUGGUUGACGGUAAAUGCUCAAAGAAUUACCCGAAGGAAUAUUAUGAGAAAACAACAAUCCUGCCAAAUGGCCAUGUAAGGUAUGCUCGGCCAAAAAAUGAUAUAAUUGUUGCGAAAAAUGGAAUUUCUCUUGAUAAUUGGCAUGUUGUCCCCCACAACGUCGAUUUAUUAGUCAAAUAUGAGGCGCAUAUCAACGUGGAAAGAGUUAAUCGUGAUGGAAUGGAAAAGUAUCUAUUCAAAUAUGUUGCUAAGGGUUUUGAUUGUUCGAGGGUUGGUCUCAAGCGCAAGCGGGCAUGUGCUGGAACUAAUGAGAUUCAUGACUAUUUAGAAUGUAGAUGUAUAGCGCCGAAUGAGGCGGCAUGGCGUUUGCUUUAGUUUGAGAUUCAUUAUACUGAUCCUGCUAUUGAGCGUCUCCAUGUACAUAUGCCAUUAGAGAAUAAUGUUACAUUCACAGAGGAUGAUAAUCUGGAACAGAUCUUGGAUAACCCACGCAAUCGUGUUACGAAACUUACAGCAUGGUUUGCUGCAAAUAGAGAAUACUCUCAGGCUGCUCCAUAUACAUAUGCAGAGUUCCCAGAAUACUUUACCUGGCAUGGUAAUGGCAAAUAUUGGGCUCCACGGAAAAAUUGCCGCAAGAAAAUUGAAAGGAUAGCACAUGUUUGUCCUGCCCAAGGAGAUGUCUACUACCUUAGAAUGUUGCUGCACAUUGUCAAAGGAGCAAAAUCCUAUUCUGAUCUCCGGACCAUUGAAGGACAUGUAUAUCCUACAUUCCAAUCUGCAUGUCAAGCCCUAGGCCUUCUUGGUGAUGACCGUGAAUGGUCCUUCGCAAUGACUGAUGCGACUCAUUGGGCACUUCCCUACCAACUCCGUGAGUUAUUUGUAACAUUGCUUCUUUUCUGUGAUGUUACAAACCCACUGAGUUUAUUUGAAGAGCAUCUGUCUUCAAUGGGUCAAGAUGCAGCCUACCACCUUAACCAUGCCACACUAGGUAUAAAUUCUUCUGCACCUUCAGUCAUACAAUAUGUCAAGUCCUAUGUUCGUUCCGAGAUCGAUAGCAUACUUAGAAAUGUUGGUCGUACUUUGGCACAUUUCCAUUUACCUGAGCCUACUAUUCAAAGCACAUCCAUCCUUGGCAAUAGGUUGCUAAUAGAUGAACAAGCAUAUGAUCUAGAGAAGAUAUCGAUUGAAGCGGCUGAUCAGUUAGGCAAGUUAAAUCUGAACCAGAGACAUAUAUAUGAUGCUAUUCUCAAUUCUUUAAAUAGUGACAUUGGGCAUACCUUCUUUAUCUAUGGCUAUGGAGGGACAGGGAAAACAUUCCUUUGGAAUACCCUACUAAAUAGUGUAAGGGCUGAAGGGAAAAUUGCUUUGGCAGUUGCUUCUUCCGGUAUAGCAUCACUUCUACUUCCUGGUGGCCGCACGCCUCAUUCUCGCUUUAGAAUACCAUUGGACAUACAAGAGCAUCCAGUUUGUUCUAUUAAGAAGAACACUCACUUGGCUCAAUUAAUUCAACAAACCUCCUUAGUCAUAUGGGAUGAGGCACCUGUUAAUCACAAACAUUGCUUUGAAGCUCUUGACCGAACAUUGAGAGAUAUUCUUGCAUCCAAUGAUCCAUCACUUGCUAACAAACAGUUUGGAGGCAUUACAGAUGUUCUUGGAGGAGAUUUUAGGCAAACUCUCCCGGUUCUACCCUAUGAAAAAAACAGGAAAUCUUAUCUUCAUCCAUCACACGUUCUCAUUUGUGGCAGCACUGCAUUCUCAUGCAUCUUACGGAAAAUAUGAGGCUUCAAUCCCCAACAUUGUCUAAUACUCAUCGUCAACGCCUUCAAGAAUUUGCAGAAUGGUUGUUAGCAAUAGGGGAGGGAGCAGUAGCAGAUUCUUCACCUACUGAUCGAGAGGAUGUUUCUUGGGUAAAAAUACCAGAGUAUUUGCUUUUGCCAGAUGACACAAGAAACCUUUCAGGCCUUAUCUCUUUUGUAUAUGAUGCCUCAAUCAAUUCUCACACAGCCAAUUAUCUCUGUGAGCGAGCAAUUCUAGCCCCAACAAAUGAAAUCGCUGCAAGUAUAAAUUCCCAAAUGAUUGCUCAGCUGACUACUGAAGAAAUGUCAUACUAUAGUUCAGACACAAUUGAAGAUACUACAAGUAAUCGUGCCACUCUUGAUGCUCUUUACCCAACUGAGUUCCUGAACACUAUAAAAAUCAGCGGUUUGCCAGACCAUCACCUUCAACUAAAAAUAGGAGUGCUGAUUAUGCUGCUGCGCAAUCUGAACCCAACCAGACUUAUAAUGACUCAAUUGACUUGUCGUGUGAUAGAAGGGGAGAUAAUUACAGGGAAGGCUAAAGGAUCCAAGGCAUAUAUACCAAGGAUAGUAACCACUUCAAUUGAUAAGAAGUGGCCUUUUAAAUUAAAGCGCCGACAAUUUCCUGUAUGUGUGUCAUAUGCAUUGACUAUAAAUAAAAGUCAAGGGCAAACACUUAGUAGAGUUGGUGUCUACUUACCUAGCCCUGUCUUCUCACAUGGACAACUUUAUGUCGCACUCUCACGUGUAACAUCGCCUGAUGGUCUUCGUAUUCUAAUUGAGAAUAGUCCAACUGAGCAUGUGACCAGCACUCACAAUGUUGUUUACAAAGAAAUAUUUAACGAUCUGGAUCAACAAGGAAUGCAUACAUGAUUACAGGAUUCUUUAUCUGAAACCUCUGCCUUGUCAAAGCAGCACGCAGUUGGUAUUAUUACAAUGGUUCAGUUCUUUCCUGUCUAUUUUAUGUGAUCUUCACACUCAACUUUCCUCUAAUAUAUGCCUUCUGGUAUCCAUGGUUUCUUCGCUGCCAUCAUACGAAGAACCAAGCAUCCAACCAUCUCAAUGAUCAUUAUAAAUUUCAUUUUUCCAUCAGCAGGUGUUCUGCUAGAAAACAUAUCAAUGCACCUCUAUGCCCUAUUAUGUACCUUUUGGCUUGCAAGAGUGUUAUACGAGAUAAAUUAUUUGUCUCACUCACCUGUAUGCCUGCCAUGUAAAUAAUAUAACUAUUUUAAUUGCCAACUGACUACCGUCAUCAAUUCUUUUGUCCGAUGAAAUAACAUAUCUUACAUAUAUUAUAUGCUUUUUAGUAAGUAAA